CAAUAAGAAUUCCCGCCAUUCUGAAUCCAAAGACCAGACUACUGCUGAAGAUAUCAUGUUGGCACAUCCUGCCACAUUUGGACUCCCAGAGGGUCUUCCCUCCACCUCUCAACAGGAGAAGCCUCGCAAACGUCCCCUUCUAAUCAGGAUGUUUUCCACCAUCUCCAUAGGCCUAUCCAAGCCAUUCAAACGCUUUUACCUUCGACAUCAACAAGCGACGCACGGGCUGGUCCUGCAGACUCCCACGCCCAUGGCCCAGGAGAAGGCUGGGGGCCACCUGCUCACUCACGUCCCAGCCAUCUCCUUUGAGACCGACUCUACUGUGGAGUGCACCUCCAAGAGGACUCCGGAAGAGAGGGACCGGGUGAAGGUUAAACUGGCCAACAUGGCCUUGAUGGGAAGGAUCAAAAGUCUUGGCUGUGAAAUGCCCAUUAUGUGUGAUUAUCGAAUUGAUCAUUUUCCACUUUUGAAACAACAAUGGGAAAGACAGGGUUUAUAGCAAAGGUUGCUCAGAUUGGGCUUUUGGAAAAAUUGGGAGAAUGAAAGUGCACUCCUGAUUCAGAGAGAAAGAUCCAGCUUAAUCAUCCAUACCAUUGUUUAAAUUACAAUAAAAAAACAUUCAAACUGUUCCU